GUGAUAUAUGAUGUUAUUUAUACAUCAAUUCUGCAACAUGAACGAUGAUUCCUAAUCAUGCACUACUAUCUGAUAUCUC